UCUAGCGGCGGACGGGUUAGUAACGCGUGGGAACAUACCCUUCUCUAAGGAAUAGCCUCGGGAAACUGAGAGUAAUGCCUUAUACGCCCUUCGGGGGAAAGAUUUAUCGGAGAGGGAUUGGCCCGCGUUAGAUUAGAUAGUUGGUGGGGUAACGGCCUACCAAGUCUACGAUCUAUAGCUGGUUUUAGAGGAUGAUCAGCAACACUGGGACUGAGACACGGCCCAGACUCCUAC
rnacentral:rRNA from 1 species